UNUGACUUGAGUGCAGAAGGGGAGAGUGGAAUUCCAUGUGUAGCGGUGAAAUGCGUAGAUAUAUGGAGGANCACCAGUGGCGAAAGCGGCUCUCUGGUCUGUCACUGACGCUGAGGCUCGAAAGCGUGGGUAGCGAACAGGAUUAGAUACCCUGGUAGUNCACGCCGUAAACGAUGAGUGCUAGGUGUUAGGCCCUUUCCGGGGCUUAGUGCCGGAGCUAACGCAAUAAGCACUCCGCCUGGGGAGUACGACCGCAAGGUUGAAACUCAAAGGAAUUGACGGGGGCCCGCACAAGCGGUGGAGCAUGUGGUUUAAUUCGAAGCAACGCGAAGAACCUUACCAGGUCUUGACAUCCCGAUGCUAUUCUUAGAGAUAGGAAGUUACUUCGGUACAUCGGAGACAGGUGGUGCAUGGUUGUCGUCAGCUCGUGUCGUGAGAUGUUGGGUUAAGUCCCGCAACGAGCGCAACCCUUAUUGUUAGUUGCCAUCAUUAAGUUGGGCACUCUAGCGAGACUGCCGGUAAUAAACCGGAGGAAGGUGGGGAUGACGUCAAAUCAUCAUGCCCCUUAUGACCUGGGCUACACACGUGCUACAAUGGUCGGUACAACGAGUUGCGAGCCGGUGACGGCAAGCUAAUCUCUGAAAGCCGAUCUCAGUUCGGAUUGGAGGCUGCAACUCGCCUCCAUGAAGUCGGAAUCGCUAGUAAUCGCGGAUCAGCACGCCGCGGUGAAUACGUUCCCGGGCCUUGUACACACCGCCCGUCACACCACGAGAGUUUGUAACACCCGAAGUCGGUGAGGUAACCUUUUAGGGGC
rnacentral:rRNA from 1 species